rnacentral:rRNA from 1 species
UACGUAGGGUGCAAGCGUUGUCCGGAAUUAUUGGGCGUAAAGAGUGCGUAGGCGGUUUUCUAAGUUUGGUGUGAAAUCUCCCGGCUCAACUGGGAGGGUGCGCCGAAGACUGGAAGACUAGAGUGUGGGAGAGGUAAGCGGAAUUCCUGGUGUAGCGGUGAAAUGCGUAGAUAUCAGGAGGAACACCUGCGGUGUAGACGGCUUACUGGACCACCACUGACGCUGAGGCACGAAAGCGUGGGUAGCAAACAGG